CGUCUGGGUCUCAGCCUGAGAAGAUGGAGCAACUCGUAUUUGAGAGAUGCUUCCAUUUCUGUCGUUAGGAGGCUACAUACGUGACCAAGCCGGAGAUUCCAUCUCCUGAUGCGGCUAUGUUGGUUCAAAGCCUGUUUCUCCUACAGGAACUACUGCUGCUGCCUGGCGUCCCUUUCCCUCCAGGGCUGCCUAGGAAACUCUACACCAGCAAACUCCUUGCUAUCACCCUGGCUUCUGAGCCUCUUCAGCCUAGCCCAUUCAGGCAUCUUGCCCGGGUCAGUGCCAGGAACGACCAGCUCUAUGGAGCGGGCAGGAGGCUCCAGUGAAGGCAUGGGGAGUACCCAUGCCCACCCCAGAACCACGCCCAACCCAGAACUAACUCCAGGGCUUCCUGCUGCCUCCAGGGACAGUGAAACAUCAGGGAGGUGGGGCACCGAACCCACAGCCUUAUGUGUGGGAGACAACUGUUCUACUACCCAGCUGCACUCCCAAGGCCAAGUCAGCAUUUUAAAUAAAGUUACUACUCAUUCCAUCCUCCCUAGCAUGUCACCUGGGGUUUCAGGACUAAGCACACAGCACACUUGGCAGGAUGAUACCCCCAAAUCAGACAGGAAAGGCUCAUCCAGGCAGCGGUGUGCUGGAGAGAGCAAGACUGGAAUCAGAUCAGUGUGCCCCUUGGAGAUCAGUGACCUGAGUCUCCUGAAAGUGUUGGCAACUACAGGUCAAUGAAUUGUUUUUCUUGGGCACAGUGAGGACAGGCUAAAGAGAACUACGACAUGAGGACUGAGACCGACCUCUAUGUACAGCCUACAUCACCCAGGCCCCUCCACUUGCAUCUUGUGCAUUUGGGCACCAGGGCUGUCUUCUGUGGCAACGGCUCCUCUGUGCCUGUUUCCUACUGGGCUCAGCACCCUGCCUCCAGAGCCAAGUCCGACCAAGCACGAUGGCCAGGGCUGCUGCCUGCAGCCUCUGUUGCACAGAAAGCCACCAGCUGUCAUGGAGGAGUGGGCAGGACACACCCAUUGCUGUGGAGGAGCAUGGUUUGGUCUGGACAGGCUGCCUGAUGGUUCCUGGCUUUAAAUCCUCAGCAUUAACUCUAAUUUGCCUUAUUUUUCACGAUUGUACUACAAACCUCUUAUUGGUUCUAUCUGCAAACUCAGAGUUAGUGUGUAGUGCAAGAUCAUGCUAAUGAAGUGUUAAGGCCAGGACUUGAACCAAGAUUCUGACUUCAAACCCUUUUGUUUUCAUUCCUGCCUCUU
rnacentral:lncRNA from 1 species